GGACAGGACUCUGGAGAGACUCCGUGGAUGGAGCACCGAAGGGGCAAUACGCGAUCAGGGAACAGUAUCUUAUGACGCGUUAAAACUCUCAGGUAAAAGGACAGGGAUUGCAAG
rnacentral:ncRNA from 1 species